rnacentral:rRNA from 1 species
CCGUAGCCCAAGAGAUCGGGAUAACACCUGGAGACAGAUGCUAAUACCGGAUAACAACAGAUGAUGCCUAUCAACUGUUUAAAAGAUGGUUCUGCUAUCACUCUUGGAUGGACCUGCGGUGCAUUAGCUAGUUGGUAGGGUAACGGCCUACCAAGGCGAUGAUGCAUAGCCGAGUUGAGAGACUGAUCGGCCACAUUGGGACUGAGACACGGCCCAAACUCCUACGGGAGGCAGCAGGU